ACGUAGGGGGCAAGCGUUAUCCGGAUUUACUGGGUGUAAAGGGAGCGUAGACGGCAAGGUAAGUCUGAUGUGAAAACCCAGGGCUUAACCCUGGGACUGCAUUGGAAACUGUCUGGCUCGAGUGCCGGAGAGGUAAGCGGAAUUCCUAGUGUAGCGGUGAAAUGCGUAGAUAUUAGGAAGAACACCAGUGGCGAAGGCGGCUUACUGGACGGUAACUGACGUUGAGGCUCGAAAGCGUGGGGAGCAAACAG
rnacentral:rRNA from 1 species